rnacentral:rRNA from 1 species
UAAUGCAGUCGAACGAUGAAGUUCCUUCGGGAAUGGAUUAGUGGCGAACGGGUGAGGAACACGUGAGAAACCUGCCUUUCAUUCUGGGAUAACACCGGGAAACCGGUGCUAAUACCGGAUACUCCAUCUUGGCGGCAUCGCCGAGCUGGGAAAAAAUUUUGAUGAAAGAUGGUCUCGCGGCCUAUCAGCUAGUUGGUGAGGUAAAGGCUCACCAAGGCGACGACGGGUAGCCGGCCUGAGAGGGCGACCGGCCACACUGGGACUGAGACACGGCCCAGACUCCUACGGGAGGCAGCAGUAGGGAAUAUUGGGCAAUGGGCGAAAGCCUGACCCAGCGACGCCGCGUGAGGGAUGAAGGUCUUCGGAUUGUAAACCUCUUUCAGUAGGGAAGAAGCGAAAGUGACGGUACCUAAAGAAGAAGCACCGGCUAACUAUGUGCCAGCAGCCGCGGUAAUACAUAGGGUGCAAGCGUUGUCCGGAAUUAUUGGGCGUAAAGAGCUCGUAGGUCGUUUGUCGCGUCGAUUGUGAAAAUCUGAGGCUCAACCUCAGACCUGCAGUCGAUACGGGCAAACUAGAGUGUGGUAGGGGAGACUGGAAUUCCUGGUGUAGCGGUGGAAUGCGCAGAUAUCAGGAGGAACACCAAUGGCGAAGGCAGGUCUCUGGGCCAUAACUGACACUGAGGAGCGAAAGUGCGGGGAGC